UACGUAGGGCGCGAGCGUUAAUCGGAAUUACUGGGCGUAAAGCGUGUGCAGGCGGUUUGUUAAGACAGGUGUGAAAUCCCCGGGCUUAACCUGGGAAUUGCGCUUGUUACUGGCAAGCUAGAGUACGUCAGAGGGGGGUGGAAUUCCACGUGUAGCAGUGAAAUGCGUAGAGAUGUGGAGGAACACCGAUGGCGAAGGCAGCCCCCUGGGAUGAUACUGACGCUCAUACACGAAAGCGUGGGGAGCAAACAGG
rnacentral:rRNA from 1 species